GUACCGACCUGAGAGGUGAUCGGCCACAUUGGGACUGAGACACGGCCCAAACUCCUACGGGAGGCAGCAGUAGGGAAUCUUCGGCAAUGGACGAAAGUCUGACCGAGCACCGCCGCGUGAGUGAAGAAGGUUUUCGGAUCGUAAAACUCUGUUGGUAGAGAAGAACGUUGGUGAGAGUGGAAAGCUCAUCAAGUGACGGUAAUACCCAGAAAGGGACGGCUAACUACGUGCCAGCAGCCGCGGUAAUACGUAGGUCCCGAGCGUUGUCCGGAUUUAUUGGGCGUAAAGCGAGCGCAGGUGGUUUAUUAAGUCUGGUGUAAAAGGCAGUGGCUCAGCCAUUGUAUGCAUUGGAAACUGGUAGACUUGAGUGCAGGAGAGGAGAGUGGAAUUCCAUGUGUAGCGGUGAAAUGCGUAGAUAUAUGGAGGAACACCGGUGGCGAAAGCGGCUCUCUGGCCUGUAACUGACACUGAGGCUCGAAAGCGUGGGGAGCAAACAGGAUUAGAUACCCUGGUAGUCCACGCCGUCGACGCGGCCG
rnacentral:rRNA from 1 species